UACGGGAGGAGCAGUGGGGAAUAUUGCACAAUGGGCGCAAGCCUGAUGCAGCCAUGCCGCGUGUAUGAAAAAGGCCUUCGGGUUGUAAAGUACUUUCAGUCGUGAGGAAGGUGUUAAGGUUAAUAACCUUAGCAAUUGACGUUAGCGACAGAAGAAGCACCGGCUAACUCCGUGCCAGCAGCCGCGGUAAUACGGAGGGUGCGAGCGUUAAUCGGAAUUACUGGGCGUAAAGGGCACGCAGGCGGUUAAUUAAGUUGGAUGUGAAAUCCCCGGGCUUAACUGGGAAUGGCAUUCAAGACUGGUUAGCUAGAGUCUUGUAGAGGGGGUAGGAAUUCCAUGUGUAGCGGUGAAAUGCGUAGAGAUGUGGAGGAAUACCGGUGGCGAAGGCGGCCCCUGGACAAAGACUGACGCUCAUGUGCGAAAGCGUGGGGAGCAAACAGGGAUUAGAUACC
rnacentral:rRNA from 1 species